rnacentral:lncRNA from 1 species
GGGGACCAAGAUGAAGGGAGAGUGUCUAGAGCUGCAACACAGGGCAUCGCCUCUGUCAUGGUGGCAGCACCUUUCCCAGCCCUUCUGUAGGAUACUGGCUCAGUCACCACACACACAGCUUCAGUCGAAGGUGAAAAGUGUUCGGGGAGCUGUGGAGAGACACCGAGCUGUCUCUAGGAUAGCCAUGCAGCCGGCCCCUCUCCAGACCUUCCUGCUGUAAGUAACCACGCUUCUUA